CAAUAGCGUAUAUUAAAGUUGCUGCGUUUAAAAAGCUCGUAGUUGGAUCUCGGUUCCAGGCCUGCGGUCCGCCUCGAGGCGGAUACUGCUCGUCCUGCGUUCGACGUCGUGGUGGUCCCUUGGUGCUCUUGACUGAGUGUCUCGGGCGGUCCCGAACGUUUACUUUGAAAAAAUUAGAGUGCUCAAAGCAGGCGUAUCGCCUGAAUAAUUCCGCAUGGAAUAAUGGAAUAGGACCUCGGUUCCAGUUUCGUUGGUUUGCGAAUCCUUGAGGUAAUGAUUAAUAGGGACUGCCGGGGGCAUACGUAUUGCGGCGGGAGAGGUGAAAUUCGUGGAUCGCCGCAAGACGAACGACAGCGAAAGCAUUUGCCAAGAAUGUUCUCAUUAAUCAAGAACGAAAGUCAGAGGUUCGAAGACGAUCAGAUACCGUCGUAGUUCUGACCCUAAACGAUGCCGACCGUCGAUCCGCCGGAGUUACUACCAUGACUCGGCGGGAAGCCUCCGGGAAACCAAAGUCUUUGGGUUCCGGGGGGAGUAUGGUUGCAAAACUGAAACUUAAAGGAANUGACGGAAGG
rnacentral:rRNA from 1 species